rnacentral:rRNA from 1 species
GACGAACGCUGGCGGCGUGCUUAACACAUGCAAGUCGAGCGGAAAGGCCCUUUCGGGGGUACUCGAGCGGCGAACGGGUGAGUAACACGUGAGUAAUCUGCCCUUGGCUUUGGGAUAACCACCGGAAACGGUGGCUAAUACCGGAUAUGACGGGCUCCGGCAUCGGGGUUCGUGGAAAGUUUUUUUCGGCCAGGGAUGUGCUCGCGGCCUAUCAGCUUGUUGGUGGGGUAAUGGCCUACCAAGGCUUCGACGGGUAGCCGGCCUGAGAGGGUGACCGGCCACACUGGGACUGAGACACGGCCCAGACUCCUACGGGAGGCAGCAGUGGGGAAUAUUGGACAAUGGGCGGAAGCCUGAUCCAGCAACGCCGCGUGAGGGAUGACGGCCUUCGGGUUGUAACCGUC